rnacentral:lncRNA from 1 species
CCGGGCGUGGUGGCGGGUGCCUGUAGUACCAGCUACUUGGGAGGCUGAGGCGAGAGAAUCGCCUGAACCCAGGAGGCUGAGCUUUCAGUGAGCUGAGAUCACGCCACUGUACUCCAGCCACAGCAGCAGAGUGAGACUCCGUCAAAAUAAAAAAAAAAAGCAAAAAAACCAUUUUGCUACUGCAAUAUUUACUGUAAAAAUUUAAAAUAGGCUGGGUGCAGUGGCUCACGCCUGUAAUCUCGGCACUUUGGGAGGCCGAGGUGGCUGGAUCACUUAAGGUGAGGUGUCCAAGACCAGCCUGGCCAACACUGUGAAAACCCAUCUCUACAUAAAAAUACAAAAAUUAGCUGGGUAUGGUGGCGGGCGUCUGUAAUCCCAGCUACCUGGGAGGCUGAAGCAGGAGAAUCGCUUGAAACCGGGAGGCAGAGGUUGCAGUGAGCUGAGAUUGCACCACUGCACUCCAGCCUGGGAAACACAGCGAGACUCUCCUCUCGGGGGAAAAAAAAAAAGAAAAAGACAAUAGCAAAAAACAACAACAACAACAAAAUGCCAACCUACAGAAGAGGAGAAAAUACUCACAAACCAUUUACUUGCUAAGAGGUUACUAUCUGGAAUAAUGAACUCUCAACACUUAACAAACGAAAAAAACAUGAAUUCAAAAAUGGGCAAAAGGGCCUGGUGCAGUGGCUCAGGCCUGUAUUCUCAGCAUUUUGGGAGGCUAAGGCAAGAGGAUUACUUGAGGCCAGGAUUUCAAGACCAGCUUCGGCAACACAGCCAGACCCUGCCUCUACAAAACAAAACAACAAAAAAAAAUUUUUUUUUUGAGACGGAGUCUCGCUCUGUCGCCCAGGCUGGAGUGCAGUGGCGUGAUCUUG